rnacentral:precursor_RNA from 1 species
GCGGGUGUCCAUGGGUUGCGAUGGUAACCAAUCGCCGCUGCCCACGGACAUUUGUAA